rnacentral:lncRNA from 1 species
UGGCAAUAUCCGCAGCUACUCGGCAUUACACACAGCCCUAAAAGCAUCAGCAUUAGGACAUUCGGGAGAACCUCAGGUCUACUGCUUUUUGUGUCCAUCAAAUACACUCUGCAGUGAAGUGCCUCACCUCACCUCAGGUCUUCUUCUGGAGAGCAUCAGAUUGCACAGGGGCAGGAAUGGAUUUUGCUAAUUUUAAUUUUGCAAGAGCCUGAACUUUCAGAUUUUGAACAAAUUUUGGAGUGACUGUUUUUCCCUUGUAAAGCAAAUGUACU